GAAUAUUCAGGGUUGAUUUCCUUUAGGAUUGACUGAUUUUAUCACCUUGCUUUCAAGUGACUCUCAGGAGUCUUCUCCAACACCACAGUUCGUAAGCUUCAGUUCUUUGGUGCUCAGCCUUCUUUAUGGUCCAACUCUUACAUUUGUAUAUGACUACUAGAAAGACCAUAGCUUUGACUAUACAAACUCUGUAUGCCAUGUGAAAAGCUUGGAGCUUAUUUUGUAGGUAGUGAGGAACCACUGAAGGUGGUUGAGCGUAGAAGUGACAGUUAUGUGUUUCAGCUGAAUCACUAGUAGCUGUGUAGAGUACAAACCUGAAGAUUACUUGACUUCAGUCUAAUUUCUUUGGGUUGUCAGGUGUAAAGGGGCUUUAUUCAUGUAAUGUGGUUGUUCUAUUUGUAUUUAUUUGUUUAUAAAUAUUUGUUUUGGGGUGUGUUGUGUCUUAGUCCUCACUGUAGUGCACAGGUUUCUCUAGUUGUGGUAUGUGGGCUUACUUGCCCCACAGCAUGUGGGAUCUUAGUUCCCCAGCCAGGGAUUGAACCCAUGUCCCCUGCACUGGAAGGUGGAUUCUUAACCACUGGCCCACCAGGGGAGCCCCUCCCUCUGCCUUUCUUGGUGUUGGUUUUACCCUGAGGUAAAUAGAAAGAUGACCACCAAGAGUUUCCAAGUCAGACCAGCAAUGUCCAGAGGAUGUAAGAGGCCAGUUCUUUCUGUGUCUUUCUUAGGAACAAGGCAACUUUUCCCUGAAGUUGUUAAAUGUCUUUGUCUUAUACUGGGAUUAGUUCAUACCCACUCAUUAUUCAAUUACUUGGAAAUGAGAUUACUAUGUUAGAUUUAGCAUAAACCCUUGAGGUAGAAUGGAUGUUGAAGAGUCCGCAUCCAUGAUUAUUACUCCAAGCCAUAACUUUGCUUUAGUCAUAAGGACAGAUGAUGAUACCAAAGGUGACAUGAUACUAAAGAUGAUGGGUAGGUGUAUCAGUCAGGGUUCUGCAGAGAAAUGCAAAAAUGAGAGAGAGAUAAAAGGAGUUUUAUAGGAAUUGGCUUGCAUGGUUAUAGAGGCUGAGAAAAGUCCCCUGAUCUACCAAAUAAAAACUGGAGACCCAAAAAAGCAAGUGGUAUGAUUCAGCCCAAGGCAGAAGUCCUGGGGUGUCAGGGAGUUGUGCAGUGCAGGGAGUUGUGCAUGGUCUCCGAGCCCAAAGACCCAAGAAUCAGGAGCUCUGAUGUCUGAGGGUGAAGAAGAUGGACAUCCCAGAUCAAGAAGAGAUGGGGAGUUUGCUCUUCCAUCUAUUUGUUCUACUUGAGCCCUCGGUGGAUUAGAUGAUGCCCAGCCAAUUGGGGAGGGCAUAUCUUCUGUAUCUUCAGGCUGCUGAUUCGAAUGUGAAUCUCUUCCUGAAGCAUCCUCACAGGCACUCAGAAACAGUGUUUUACCAGCUGUCUGGGCAUUCCUCAGCCCAGGCAAGUUGACACACAAAAUUGACUACCACACUAGGUAACAAAAAUGUGUAUACAGCCUGUAUAUUAGACAUUAACAGCUUCUCCUGACAGUAGAGAGAACUUGAAAAAUAUUUAAUGUAUUUUAAACAUCCACCUAAUAAUUUUGUGUUCCCUGUGAAAAAAGGUAAUCAUUAGUUCAGUCUAAAAUACUCCAAAUUCUAUUAAUAAUUAGCAGAAUCCAAAUCAAUGAGAUUUUCUUGUAUAAGUAAACAUGUAGAAAAACUAUUUGUGUGAUGGGGGUAUAUGUUGAUAAUUUUAUUUAUUAGCUUCAUGGCUCUGGACUUCCCUGGUGGCUCAGACUGUAAAGCAUCUGUCUACAAUGCAGGA
ensembl:lncRNA